rnacentral:rRNA from 1 species
GACGAACGCUGGCGGCGUGCCUAAUACAUGCAAGUCGAACGCUGAAGGAGGAGCUUGCUUCUCUGGAUGAGUUGCGAACGGGUGAGUAACGCGUAGGUAACCUGCCUGGUAGCGGGGGAUAACUAUUGGAAACGAUAGCUAAUACCGCAUAAGAGUAGAUGUUGCAUGACAUUUGCUUAAAAGGUGCAAUUGCAUCACUACCAGAUGGACCUGCGUUGUAUUAGCUAGUUGGUGGGGUAACGGCUCACCAAGGCGACGAUACAUAGCCGACCUGAGAGGGGGAUCGGCCACACUGGGACUGAGACACGGCACAGACUCCUACGGGAGGCAGCAGUAGGGAAUCUUCGGCAAUGGACGGAAGUCUGACCGAGCAACGCCGCGUGAGUGAAGAAGGUUGUCGGAUCGUAAAGCUCUGUUGUAAGAGAAGAACGAGUGUGAGAGUGGAAAGUUCACACUGUGACGGUAGCUUACCAGAAAGGGACGGCUAACUACGUG